CAGCAGCCACGGGAAUACGAAGGGGGCUAGCGUUGUUCGGAAUUACUGGGCGUAAAGCGCGCGUAGGCGGAUAUUUAAGUCAGGGGUGAAAUCCCAGAGCUCAACUCUGGAACUGCCUUUGAUACUGGGUAUCUUGAGUAUGGAAGAGGUGAGUGGAAUUCCGAGUGUAGAGGUGAAAUUCGUAGAUAUUCGGAGGAACACCAGUGGCGAAGGCGGCUCACUGGUCCAUUACUGACGCUGAGGUGCGAAAGCGUGGGGAGCAAACAGGAUUAGAUACCCCAGUAGUCCCUGUCUCUUAUAC
rnacentral:rRNA from 1 species